UGAAUACGAGAUGCUACGGCAUCGAAGCAGUCUAUGUCACACUUCCAAGAAAAGCUUGCACUGUCAUAAACAAAUAAUGCCUGUACCAUAACCGACACAGGUGGGUAGGUAGAGUAUACUAAGGGGCGCGAGAUAACUCUCUCUAAGGAACUCGGCAAAAUGACUCCGUAACUUCGGGAGAAGGAGUGCCUUAUUUUUAUAAGGUUGCAAUAACAAGAUCCAAGCAACUGUUUACCAAAAACACAGGUCUCCGCUAAGUCGUAAGACGAUGUAUGGGGGCUGACGCCUGCCCAGUGCCAGAAGGUUAAAGAAGUUGGUUAGCAUUAGCGAAGCUGAUAACUGAAGCCCUGGUGAACGGCGGCCGUAACGAUAACGGUCCUAAGGUAGCGAAAUUCCUUGUCGGGUAAGUUCCGACCCGCACGAAAGGCGUAAUGAUUUGGAUACUGUCUCGGAGAGGGGCUCGGUGAAAUAGACUUGUCUGUGAAGAUGCGGACUACCUGCACCUGGACAGAAAGACCCUAUGAAGCUUUACUGUAACUCGAGAUUGAAAUUGGACUUUAUCUGCGCAGUAUAGGUGGGAGACGUUGAAAAUAUUCUUGCGGGAAUAUUCGAGUCAUCAGUGAGAUACCACUCUUAUAAUGUUAGAUUUCUAACUUUGUAUCAUUAUCUGGUCAAAGAACAGUCUCAGGCGGGCAGUUUGACUGGGGCGGUCGCCUCCUAAACGGUAACGGAGGCGCACAAAGGUUUCCUCUGAACGUGUAGAAAUCGUAUCUAGAGUGUAAAGGCAUAAGGAAGCUUGACUGUGAGACCUACAAGUCGAGCAGGGACGAAAGUCGGUCUUAGUGAUCUGACGGUGCUGAGUGGAAAGGCCGUCACUCAACGGAUAAAAGUUACUCUAGGAUAACAGGCUGAUCUCCCCCAAGAGUUCACAUCGACGGGGAGGUUUGGCACCUCGAUGUCGGCUCAUCGCAUCCUGGGGCGGUAGUACGUCCCAAGGGUUGGGCUGUUCGCCCAUGAAAGCGGUACGCGAGCUGGGUUCAGAACGUCGUGAGACAGUUCGGUCCGUAUCCGGUGUAGGCGUUAGAAUAUUGAGAGGAGCCUUCUUUAGUACGAGAGGACCGAGAAGGACAUACCUCUGGUGUACCAGUUAUCGUGCCAACGGUAAACGCUGGGUAGCUAUGUAUGGAGAGGAUAACCGCUGAAAGCAUCUAAGUGGGAAGCCCACCUCAAGAUAAGUAUUCUC
rnacentral:rRNA from 1 species